rfam:Otolemur garnettii contig053935, whole genome shotgun sequence.
AUCCUUCCGUAUUAUAGUUCAUAAGCAUGAUGACUGGGUUUUCAUGCUCAGAUGUGAAAUGUGACUCCCUUAAACCUUGUUACUACAUUGCACAUUACUUGUCUGAUG